GCUGACGUGGUCUAGUAGCAUGAUACCUGCUUUGGGUUUUUUCCGAGCACGGGAUGUGAUCCCAUCACGUGAGUGCAGGGGGUCCCGGGUUCAACUCCCGGCGUCGGUC